GAGCACGUAGGUGGGUUUGUAAGUCAGAUGUGAAAGCCUUCUGUUCAACGGAAGAAUUGCAUCUGAAACUGCGAGUCUUGAGUGUAGGAGGGGAGAAUGGAACUUCUGGUGGAGCGGUGUAAUGCGUAGAUAUCAGAAGGAACGCCGGCGGCGAAAGCGAUUCUCUGGCCUAUUACUGACACUCAGUGUGCGAAAGCUAGGGGAGCAAACGGGAUUAGAUACCCCGGUAGUCCUAGCCGUAAACGAUGGGCACUAAGUAGAGGGC
rnacentral:rRNA from 1 species